GAAAGAAAAAUUAAAAAUCGAAUGUCAAAAUACAAUUUAGAAAAAUUACACCACGUCAGAUACCCGAUCAGCAGCUCCCAACCAACCAGGACGCGCUAGGUGGCAGAGGCACUGAUGCGGGAGGCCAUGCGGGGGGGGCCACAUGGGCGAUCCGCGUGCGUGCAAUCAAACGACUGAGGUCCAUUCCCGCGUGUACGGACGAGCCAGAUUGGAAGCGCGCAUAGACGAUCCAGAUUGAAUCGCGCACGGACGACCAAGAUUGAAUCGC
rnacentral:lncRNA from 1 species